GGGACAGUAGGUUGGUCGUGCCACCGGUACGUACUGGUCUCACUGAUUCCUCCUUCCUGAAGAACCGUAAUGCCAUUAAUCUGGUGUUGCGGGGAAACAGGACUGUUACUUUGAAAAAAUUAGAGUGUUUAAAGCAAGCUAACGCUUGAAUACAUUAGCAUGGAAUAAUGAAAUAGGACGAUCGAUCCUAUUUUGUUGGUUUCUAGGAUUGACGUA
rnacentral:rRNA from 1 species